rnacentral:piRNA from 1 species
UAAUAGCAUUUGACUGAGCCCUUGUGUUGU